AGUUUAUCUUUGUUUUAUCUAUUUCAAGAAACAUAAUUUAUAAUAAUAGCAAUACAAAUAAUGAAACUAAAUAUGAUUCGACUAGCGAAUUACGCAAUUUUCUUAGGAAAUUUAAUUCGGUAAAAUUGCAUUCCUUUUGUGCCAUUUUAGCUCUAUUUUGAGAGACUGCAAUACUUCAAAACGUUGAGGAAUAUCAUCAUUACUAUUAUACUCAUGUUGCAGUUCAUUAUUUGAAGCACACAUUGAAGCAAGCAUAAUAAGCAUAGCUAAGCAUCACAUUAGUAUCAUGGUCAAUUGAAGAAGAUUCAUCACAUUGAGACUAUUCUAUAUGCGUCUAUACCACAACAUUGGCGUUGUCACAAUCACCGUAUUCGAUAUAGAAAGAAUUUCUUCCACAUCUGUCGUAAUAUUAUGUUUCACCUCUGCCUUUAUGGUGUCUUUAAUGUAGUUCGCUAGCUUUUUCCAUGCUCUUCUUAGUGUCACACAUUUGGCAUCCAUCCAAGAAGCAUAUGCCGCCAUACAACAACAAUCCUUGGAAUUGCUUGCGAAGUUGUACCAUUCUUUCGUGAGUAGCAUCGUUGAUCGUUGACAAAAAUUUUUAUAGAGGAAUGAGCUUGUUAAUGCGGAACGUGUCGAAUGAGAUGUUCGGAUAAAAGAGAAUUCGGAUAACAGGGUUUCGGAUAAUCAAGGUCAUACCGUAUUAUUAUCAUUGCGCACCGUGAAUUAUUUUUAUCCAUAAAAUUCAUAGGACAACGCUUUUCUGAAGUUAGGACGUUACAUUUUUUACAAUAUUAUCACAGUUAAUUUGUUGAACAUAAUAAUAAAUGUACGGUAUAAACGCAUAUUAAGCGCAAUUACAGUAUAUAAAUAAUGGCGUAAUAAUAACAGUCUACGUAAUCGAGUUGAAACUUUUUACGUAUUAACAAUGUUGUAAUUAUGCAGCCAUCCACCGGCUAUUAAUAGGUGUAAAUAUAAAUUCUUUCCGAUUGAAUUCACAUAAACGAUACGGCCAUUCAAAUCGAAAUAUUCUCCCGUUCCUUUGUGAUUUUCCAGCGUUCGCAGACAAGUUUGUAGUCGCGCAACAACGCCGUAUAGUCAUGCAGUAAGUCGCAGCAACGUACAUCAGAACAUAUUACAGUCGUCGCACCAUAAUCUUAUGAAUUACUAGUACACACCAUAGCUGCCAGUAAACAACGUACAUAGCACGUUAUAUUGUUUGCGUUUAAUCUGAGGAAAGCUACGACAGAAGCCACAGAAACAUAUAUCUUUUAGAAUAGGAGAUAGAACGGGGGAAGGAAUUUACUUAAUCACUGAUCUACGCACACAGAAGCUUACGCUCGUCCACUCAGCCUCGUAAACUCCGAAGAAAACAACCUGGUGACCUUCUACUUUUUCUACAUAUAUAUUUGCACACUUUGUGCAUAUAUACAUACAAAUAAAUUAAUUUUUGAACAUUUUUUUACAUACAUUUUUUUUUAAUUUUGAAUUUUACCCACCUUAGCAUAGUAGUUACCCAAAACGUAACAAAACAACUUAGAGCCAUCGAUGCUACACGACUCUCCCCUAGCUGACUGAUUGUCAUCGUCAUCGGCGAUCAGUUAUCAGCGAAAUAUACUUCUGCAUAAACAGAAUUGAAAAACUCAUAUCAAGAAUCCAUUGUAGGAGAUCGAAUAAUGAGGCUACAAACAUAAACAAAACCAUAAACAAAAUGUAAUUUUGUACAGGCGCCAUCAUAAUAUUUAGAAGUGUUCGUGGCACGUAGUCCCAUUCUGUUAUACCAAUCUGGGGUUAGAGGUUAGGUCGCAAAGAGGUUAGGUUGCAAAGACUCUAAGGUGUCUAGAAUAUACCAAGAGGAUAACGUGUCGAUAGCUUUCAAACGAAAUAAAACAGUAACAGUCAUCUCAAUACGAAUUAUUUAUUAAUACUUGAAAAUGAUGUAUUAUUUAUAAUAAAUUAUUUGAUAAAUAAAUAAAUAAAUUGCAAAAGUUAUGUGAUAUUGCUUCUCAUCUUUUAGCUGCUCGAUGGUGUUUGGUACAUUGACAUAUGCUUUACUUUUCCCACGAGAAAAUCCCACGAGAAGACGUCCGGCAUAGUUAAAUCACAAGAUCUAUGCGAUCUGAUGAUAUAGCGAACGUAACUUGUGCGAGGUCAUCGUCAUCGACGAAUUGCUUUGAUAAAAUGUUCUAUUUAAAAUCGUGACUCACUCUUGAACUGUGCUACGCUCUAUGCUAUUAAUUUGCCACGAAUCCGUGAAACAAUUGCCAAAGUGGAACAAAAGAUGACGCGUCGUUCCAGGCUCGAGAGAGUUUCAAAUUAGUCAGUUGUGCAUUAUCCACCCUGUAGUAUUAUCAUUAUAUGUGUUAUCAGGUAUUAUAAGUACAUCUUAAUAUAGUUAAUGUAUUUUGUAUCUAUGUGUAUGCGCGCGCGCGCGCGAAUAUGUGUAUUUUAAAGCUUCCCGAUGCGGUUUUCAUAACACAAAGAUUCUUCAAUUCAAAUAAAAUGCUGGCAUCGUUCAUGUCGUUCUUUAUAACGUUGUAAGAAAGCUAAGAAUAUGUGCCAGAGAUCCAUUGUACCUAUCGUGCGCCGCGUGAAUUGAAGAAAAACAAUAUUUUGCGAGGUUAUGUAACAAAUUCGUUCGCAUUUCUUAAAAAUAGGAAACCUCAAACAUCGUUACUCUUAUAUAAGAAGUACUUAAUUAACGAUGUAUAUAUUAUUUUCUAAGGAAUGAGUAACUUAUUCGCAUUAUUAUUUCGAAGCUUUCGUUGUUUUCUUAAAAAUGUUUCGAUACGUGCGUUUUUAAAUUCUUGGAAUUAUUUAACGGUUACUCGUGAAAAAAGCUUCCCAAAUGUCAAAACAAUUAAUAUCCCAAUAUUAAUAGCACAGUUGGUGUCCCAACAAUUUCUGACAUUUAUGGAAAGAAACUAAUAAUUAUAUAAUCUGAAAGAAAUUAAUAAUUUCUACCGUAUGAUGGAAGAAUUCCCAAAAUUUAAUAAACAAAGUAAAACUGCUGUUUAGGUCCCGCUUCUAACGACCUUCACCUUCACAGGUGCCAUCAAAGUGUUAUGCCAUCAAAGUCAACCUCAUAUUAUCCCUUCAACCUGCAGAAGAUUUCAGCCGCCGUUUGUUCAGCGCUUGUUGUUUGUCGAGAAGUUAUUAAUGAAAUAAUUUUAACAAGUCGAACGUAUCUUAUCGACGUUAAAUACAUAUUUAAUGAGCCAGCAUAUGGUACGUGCAUACGCGUUGUAUACUAAUAUUACCGAACUUACGGCUCUGUUAGAAUUUGAGGUUAGGUUUGUGUUAGGUCGUUCGUUAUCGGCUGCGCUAGCCUAAACGAUUUACGUAUUCGCGGGAAGAAAUGCGAAGAAUUCUAGGAAUUGGGUCGAAAAAACACGGGAGUAAGUUGGAAAGUAUUCCAAACUUCACCCGAAAAUAGGAUGUGACUUCUGCCCGAGUGUUCCGAAUAUCAACGCGGAGAAAUUCAAGAAAGCGGGAGUUAACUGCCAGAGUAACUACGGACCUUCUUAACUACGUUAUCAUAAUUAAGUUUGGGUAUUUUUACCUCGCCUACCCUAACCUAACCCUAACCCCAAUUCAAAUGGAACGAAACGAUUAUGGACACAGCAUUUGUACCUGCCUUUGCGCACGAAGCGUCAAUAAUUUUUUAAGAAAUAACGAACGACGUCUAAAAACUUCUGGGGGUUACUGAGGAAGACGACCUUGACGACGAGUGUUAAGGUCAAGGCCAUUGAAUGUGGCCCCGCUAAACAGCAGUUUCACCACCGUAUUUAUUAUUUUACUUACACGUUUGUGUGUUGCAAUUAACGUACACGCAUGUAAUACUUUUUUAAUAUUGUCUUUUUUAAUAAUAAGCGAAUUUAUUACGCAAUCUAAUAGUCACGGACGUGGCAAAAAAUAUCUUCCAAAUAUCUGGAGAACAUGUUCCGAAUGUAAGAAAAUAAAAAUGUAAAAGAGUAAAUAUAAGAAAUGAUUUUUGUGAAUUUCAAAAUUGUAACGUUAAACGAAACGAUGAAGCAAGGUCCGAUCGUUCGUAACGAUGUAAUGUACGAGGCAUUGGGAUGUUAAAUAUUUAACUAAAGGAAAAACACGUUUAAUUGCUGAACAAGUGGCAGAAAAUGUAUAAUAUUAACGAAACGCAUUCUUCGCAACGAACAGUCGCCGCGUCGUUGUUAAUUCGUUUUGACGAGAUCGAAAAUAAUAUCAUCCGUUCCUCGACAGGACCAUAACUGCGGAUGAAAAAUAGCUUCUGUAUGAAAGCUGCACUCGUAAAAAGCAAUGGCUAUCGUGUGGUCUAGGAGCAGUGCUUACUGUGAAAUUUGAUUUUCGUCUUAGGAGAACUUUAAUGUGUGUUUUAUGCGAUAUAAGGAAUCAUUUAUUGCAAACUUUUCAAACUAAUUAAACGUUAAAACAAAAUAAGACCACGACGGUUGCAGUUUAUAGCGAACAAUUAAAUAGAUUAAGCGUAACUUCGAGAGAUAAAUCGGCAGUAACAAAUAGCAAAAAAUAGCGCGUUUUUUUUUUAAUCGACGACGCUCAGACACAUGCAAAUAGAACGAUAGAGAGAAUUAACGAAUUUAACUGGAAAUUGGUAUCGCAUCCGUUACGCCCUCUCUUCUUCUGACGCGUUAUGAUUUAUUUCACAAAAUUUUCCGCGUGGCAGCAACUUUUGCGGCACGGGUCAUUUAAACGUGAGGUUGGAUCAAUUUUUCAAUCUAAAAGGCGAGAUUAACAGAUUUAAAAGUGAGAAAUUCACGUCGCAAAAUCGCCGAUGUAUCGUCGAUUGAAGUUGAAUAUCGAGCACUCCAAACGUAAUCACAGAAAAACAUUAGGCUGCUGCGUAUGAAGCGACGGCUUCACACGUGUCGCAGCAAAUCAGCAUCUUUCUUUCACGGAGAGUUCACAGACGACGAUGAAUAAAAUUCGAGUCCGGAGACCAUUCGCGGAUUAAAGUCACGUUCACACUGACGGACAAUUGUCGACAGAUACACACGACGGAGUAGUGGAAGGGAGGGGGGAGAGCUCCGUAAAAAGCACGUAGACAAGAAUUUCGUUUUCCAUUCGAAAUGUAAAAUAAAAGACAACGUCUGCGGGCGAAUAUAGAAAGAAUGUGCUUUUCGCCCCGUUUGAGAAGCAGCGAUCCGUAUAUGUAUUGAGGCAAGGAAAGGCGAAAACAGGAAAUUUGAAAAUGCAUGCUGUUCGUCGAAAUCACUGCAAAGUCACGCACCACCUCUUCCUGGAUAUGUCGUAAAGAAUUCUCCGUAAAUCGAACAAAGGUCGGGAAACUGUCAGUAUCGAACAAGAAGAAUAUUCUGGCAGGGUUGAACAACGAAUAAAAUCAUUAAAUUCUGGGUUUCUGUUAAAUAUUGUUAACUGAACAUACAUGUAGCAUUUUACGGCAAACAAUUUUUUCGUCGUUAUAAUAUUAAUUAUUUAUAUUUCUAUGACACACUAUAUAUUUAAAAGAUACAAUUUCGAAAGUUUAGGGUAUUCUUCUUUGUAUUUGAGAGGGUUCGACUGCUUGAUAAUGGUCAUAUUUCUACAAAGGUUAUCGAUUUCAAUAAUCCGUGUGUUUCAUCUCCAACACAUCGAUAACCAGAUGUACCCGGAUAUAUAAAUUUAUUAACUUAGCCUGUUAACUGACAGCUAUAUAACACAGUUCCAUUUGAGGUGACCCUAUUGUCGCCUUAAAAAAUUGAAGGUAAAAAUUUUCUCUUUCACAGUGACAUUCUAUGUAAGACAUGACAAUGAGAAUCUCCAUAUGUACUUUUGCCCCGUCGCUUUUGCAGACUCAGUUGUUAUAUCAAACGGCGUUCAUGAUGGGACACCCUGUAUAACGUUUAUUAUUAUCCGCAGUUUUCGAUAUCCGCGAAAGGAAUUUGUAAUUUUCUGAUAGUCACUGAUUAUACUAUCCGAUAGUUAUAUAGCUGUAGUACACCGCUAUUUUACUAUACAUUUUAAUCCAAGUAAACUUUUCAAACUCGACAUUAACACAGAACAGAUCAUCCAUUAAAUCUUCCCUUUUCCUAUUUUAGGUUCUAGCAGCUCCAGCGAAACAACCAUGCCUCCUCCCUCCCCUUCUUUUCCUAGAAUUCUUCUUCUUGCUCCUGUCUCACACCUGCCAAACAUGUUCCCACGUUUCUUCAUCCAAAUCGCACAGCCUGCAAUCUCUACUCUCCUCACUCACCCAAUAUUUGCUUUCUUUCAUUCCAUUGCCAAAGUAAUUCUGGCCACCCGUCUUAAACUUUCUCCGCUCCAGCCUUGAUCGAAGUACUUUGAAAUCCCCUCUCCUUUUCACCAUCUGUACUAUCUGUUGUAUUUUGAUUUCUCUAUCCUUUGCCAUCUCUCUCUCUCUCUCUUGGGCUUCUCUAUUCAUCCCUACUAACUCUUCUUAACUUCCUUCUUAGCUCUUCUUAAGAGCCUCCUCCUCUUCUCCUAUAGCCAACAUAUGGUUCCCUGUUCCCUUUGUCAACAUAACCUCUUUCCUUUCCUUCUUCUAUCCUCCCCUUAUUUUGCUUCUUCUAACUUCUUUCCUACUCUCUUGCGAACAUUCUCCUGCAAGCUUGCCAUCUUUUCUCUGUCACAGCUUCUGUUCAUAGUUUCACCCUGCGUUUCCUGUUCGUGUCUUCAUCAGAUCCCUCUGGAACUCUUCUCUAAUCAUAAUAUAAAAACAUAUACUGGCGUCCAUCAGUCCACCCUAACGUCCGGCUCAAGAAACUUUCAGUCUAAUUUUGCACUCUUUCAAUCACCCUUCUCUCUUGCCAAUCCGAAACUUUCACACCAACUUGUCGAAUGACCGUAACCUCAUCUACCAUUCCAUUCCAAAUACUCUCUUUCCUAUCCUCUAUACUGAUCUCAUAACUCUUACUGUCUUUUUCACUCUUUCCCUUAUUUGUACUCUUUCACCUCCGUUCCUCAUCAUCCUGUUCCCUGGAGUAAGUAAGAUCCCUUCCUUGUUCUAUCUUUUUCUCUCAGUCCAUUUUCUUCGUCCUUGCUUUUACUGUUUUAAAUCUUAUUAUUAUACAAAAGGAACGAAGAACAAAGUAACUAUGCAUUUACUUACAUCAAAAGAAUUAUGUGACUUAUCGGUUAAAGAGAUUGGGGAUCUAUAAAUAUUUGAAGAAACGGACAAUUAAUCUUCAUCUAAAUUUGAAUAAAUGAAAUUUCAGGUCAGGAAAGUGAUUGUUCUAUUAUCCGAACAGUUUUGCCUCCCCAUCAGUGCGGAUAAUGGAGGCCAUACUGUAACGAAUGCUCGUUAAUAUUUCGCAUUGCUUCCACAGCACCAUGUCUCAAUUUAUAUUCGUAAAGAUAAAUUAUUCGAAUUUCAUCGGGGUCCAUCAUUCGCCUUCUCUUGUUCUCUCGUAACCUCACUUUAUCAACCAAUGCGAAACGUGAUGAAUGCUAUAGGAUAUGGGCUUUAACAUAUCACGUGACAUUUGAUAUUUACCGAUGAUUUUAUUUAUGGAAGAUUUAGUUUAAGUAAAAUGUGUCAGUUUGGGAGAACUACGCAUUUCAUGCGUAACAACUUAAUAAAUUAUAUAUAAAUUAUGUUUAUAUUAAAUUAUAUAUUAUAUUUAUAUUAAAUUAUAUAUAAAUUAUAUUUAUUAUAUAUAAAUUAUAUAUUCCUUUCGCGGAUAUCGAAAAUCGCAGAUAAUAAUAAAUAUUAUACAGGGUAUCCCAUGAUAGGUGCCGUUUGACAUAAUUGCUAGAUAUAUGUAUAUGUAGAUAGAAAUAUGUAAGGAAACUUUUAUCUCCAUUUUUUUAUGUAGAAUGUCACCGUAAAAAUGUAAACUUUUAUCGUCAACUUUAUCGUCAUCUCUACUUUUUUUUAAAUGCAAGUAUGUACACAUUUUUUAUUCACCACUUGGUGCAUUUUUUCAUUCUGUACGAGGUAUUUGUGUUGGAAGGUAAGAUAUUUUAACUCCAAUGUUGUCAGACUUAUCGCAUGAAAGACUUUAACAUGAAAUGUAUAUUAAAACUGUCGUAGGAUAUUGUAUCUAACUUUUUCCUUUAUGUUUUCCUUAUUAUAACCUUAAAAAAUUGAAAGUGAAAGUUUGUUUCUUCGCAGUGACAUUCUACAUAAAAAUUGAUAUUAAAGUUACAUUUUUAUCUUAUCAUGUACUAUUUAUUAAUUACAUCAAACGGUAUCUAUCGAUGGACACCCUAUAUAUUGUACAUGCUGAAAGUACGUACUUACGAUGCAGUUAGUUUAUGAAUUAAGCAUAAUAAGAAAUCAACAAUCGUAAUCAAUAUCACAAUUAUAAUUUUUACAAGCACAUAAUUUGUACAAGUUCUGGAAAAACAUUUACAGGUCUGUGAAAUAGAUGCCAAAUGUAUCUUUUACUCAAAUAAUGGAAUCGUUAUUAAUAAUUUUCACUUAUUUCGUAAUUGCUGCAAGUUGGAGCAUGGGCGGCUACGUAGUCGAGGUCCUUUUAGGUUAUGAAAUUAUCAAGCAAUUAUGAAGUAAAUCCAAUGUUGUUGAUCGCACUAGUUGUCAAAAGAAAUAAACGUGGGGGCGAACCGAUGUAUGGCUAAUGUUGGCAGCUCCAAGAGUUUGGUUAUCGUGGACAAACUGACGUAUGGUUAACGCCAGAAGCCACAGGAAAGGUCAAGAUGUGGGAACGAAUCAGCGUAUGGCUAACGCCUGGAGCGCCAUGAAAGUGAUAUGGGAACGAACCAACGUGUGGGUAACGCUUCGAGUUGCAGGAAAUCCUAAUAGUACACCUCGUAACGUUUAACUAAUCGGUGCACCUCGAGCGGUAAAGCUAUACCGGGUAGAACAGAAAGUUCGUUCCGUUUCUCGUAGCGAGAUAGAUCUGAGUUUAGACGAAAGCUAUUAACUUUAAUUUAAUUGACCUAACUUAGUUGACCAAUUGCUGAUGAGGUAACACUCAAUCGAGUUAACACAAUAGAGUGUAAAACAAACAAUCUUGGUAGAAUUUGUUUUUUUCUGGCUAGGCAUAAGUCCACACAUGCUUCGCCAAGGCGAGACAAGAGUUUAUGCUAUGAUUAUUAACCUCAAUUUAAUUGAUCUAACAUGUUAUUGUCUGAUAAAUUAACAGUCAAUUGUAAAGUGUAAAACAAAUAAUUUUGGAAGAAUUUAUCUUUUUCUGGCCAGGCACAAGUCCACACAUGCUUCGCCAAGGCGAGACAAGAGUUUAUGCUAUGAUUAUUAACCUCAAUUUAAUUGAUCUAACAUGUUAUUGUCUGAUAAAUUAACAGUCAAUUGUAGAGAGUAAAACAAACAAUUUUGGAAGAAUUUAUCUUUUUCUGGCCAGGCACAAGCUUCGCCAAGGCGAGACAAGAGUUUAUGCUAUAACUAUUAACCUCAAUUUAAUUGAUCUAACAUGUUAUUGUUUGAUGAGUUGCCAGUAAAUUGUAGAAUAUAAAGCAAACAAUUUUGGAAGAAUUUAUCUUUUUCUGGUCAGGCACAAGUCCACACAUGCUUCGCCAAGGCGAGACAAGAGUUUAUGUUAUGACUAUUAACCUCAAUUUAAUUGAUAAACCUGCUUUAUACCCAAAGGUUAGGAAAAAGGGAGUAGUGAAGUCAGAAGAAAUCUAUGCAUAAUACGAGAUUUUCGUGGAUAAAAUUCUUGCUUUCCGUUGUUUGCGAGCUUCGAUAAUCCAAAUCGAGCGUACGUGCGACCUCCAAAAAAGGGAAUUGUAUGAUACGAACGUAACAUAAAUAUAAAAAGGAGAAAGUAUUGUAGAGAUUUACGUAACCAAUUCAAACAGCGAUAUUUCAAACCGCUAUAUCGA